GUGCCAGCCGCCGCGGUAAUACGUAGGUGGCGAGCGUUGUCCGGAUUUACUGGGCGUAAAGGAUGCGUAGGCGGAUUUUUAAGUGAGAUGUGAAAUACCCGGGCUUAACUUGGGUGCUGCAUUUCAAACUGGAAGUCUAGAGUGCGGGAGAGGAGAGUGGAAUUCCUAGUGUAGCGGUGAAAUGCGUAGAGAUUAGGAAGAACACCAGUGGCGAAGGCGACUCUCUGGACCGUAACUGACGCUGAGGCAUGAAAGCGUGGGUAGCAAACAGGAUUAGAUACCCUGGUAGUCCACGCCGUAAACGAUGAGUACUAGGUGUAGGAGGUAUCGACUCCUUCUGUGCCGCAGUUAACACAAUAAGUACUCCGCCUGGGAAGUACGAUCGCAAGAUUAAA
rnacentral:rRNA from 1 species